UAUGCUACCAACUUUGGCAUUCAUAAGAGGACUUUAUAUUAAAAUCUUCUAUUAAAUUACCAACUGUGAUAUGUUGACAAAGUGGAAGCGUUUUUAAUCCGCGAUCUUAGUAAGUGUGAUCGAAUCUGAAAAAAAAAUUAAAGUGGACAAAGGAACGGUCUAGGAUAGAGUAGUAGUCUGUGAUUUUACUACAACUCUAUGGGCUAUCAAUAAAUGUCAAAAUAUUUGACGACAACAGAAAACACAUAGUUUACAAAUAUAACAGUGUUAAAUUGAUUAAAUGUUAAAAAUAAUCUGAAACAAAAUUCUCAAGACAAAUGCACAAUAUAACCUCUUUAAGGUAAAUCUCCAAUUACAUCGCUACAAAUUGGGACAGAAGGAAGAUAAUUAAAGUUAAGCAACGUACCUUGAAAAUCUAGGUAAAACCACCACAGAAUACCGAGCGUACACCUCCAAACAAACAACACCAGCCGUUGAUGAAAUGUCCAGAUUAAAAUGCCCAAUCCAUCAAUUGUACGAUGUAAUAUUAAAACGUGCUCGCGUUGCGGGCACGAACGUGUAUCUUAUUGAUUUUAAUA